AUUGAACGCUGGCGGCAUGCCUUACACAUGCAAGUCGAACGGUAACAGGUCUUCGGAUGCUGACGAGUGGCGAACGGGUGAGUAAUACAUCGGAACGUGCCUAGUAGUGGGGGAUAACUACUCGAAAGAGUGGCUAAUACCGCAUGAGAUCUACGGAUGAAAGCAGGGGAUCGCAAGACCUUGUGCUACUAGAGCGGCCGAUGGCAGAUUAGGUAGUUGGUGGGAUAAAAGCUUACCAAGCCGGCGAUCUGUAGCUGGUCUGAGAGGACGAUCAGCCACACUGGGACUGAGACACAGCCCAGACUCCUACGGGAGGCAGCAGUGGGGAAUUUUGGACAAUGGGCGCAAGCCUGAUCCAGCAAUGCCGCGUGCAGGAUGAAGGCCUUCGGGUUGUAAACUGCUUUUGUACGGAACGAAAAGCCCUGGGUUAAUACCCUGGGGUCAUGACGGUACCGUAAGAGUAAGCACCGGCUAACUACGUGCCAGCCGCCGCCGUAAAAC
rnacentral:rRNA from 1 species